UGUUAAUUUGACUGUUUUAGCGACUAAAGUAAAUGAAGAAGUUCGUAUAUUUAUUUAUUUACUUAAUGAAAUUUAAUUAAUUUGGAUUAAUUAUUGUCAUUUGUAUUGUAGAUCAAGAGUACCAGUAAUAUAUUAUAUAAAAUAAUAACUGUUGUACCGAGUGGAGAAUUGAGUAAUGAACUUGAACUAUUUUCUAUUGAACUUCUUCAACGGGACAUUAAUUUUACAGCCUGUGGAUUUUUUAAACUAGACAAUUAUUUGAUAACUUAUAUUAUUUGUAUGGGGCUUAUUUAUAUGAUGAUCUAAGUAUGAAGACAAUAUAUAUAUAUUGACAUUGACUAUUAAUUCGCAUGCAACAAUCUCAUUGAAAUCUUGCGCAAACCUGGUCACCAGUGUACUAGUUGUCUACGUCUUUUUAUGACUGAAUCUUGUUGCAGACACUAGUAAAAUAUUUUAAAUUUCAAGUCUUGCGCAGGACUUACAAAAAAACUGUGUUAUGUAUCUAAAGAAUUGUGCAAGCUAACACGUGGCUUGUUGAUAAAAUUACUUACGCAUUUCUUGAGCAAAACUUGCGCCAGAAAUUUCUUAAAGAUACUCACGCAUGGCUUGCGCCAGAUUUUUUUAAGAAGCGCUAAAUAUAUAUCGCAGGCCAAAGGAAGGGGUAAAGUGACAGAGAUAGUUAUGUAGCGUUUCUUGAGCAAAUCUGGCGCAAGUCAUGCGUGAGUUCAUCUUUAAGAAAUUUCUGGCGCAAGUUUUGCUCAAGAAAUGCGUAAGUGAUUUUACCAAUGAGCCAUGUGUAAGAUGUCUGCAAUAUUCUUUCGUACGAUAUCAUGUGCAAGUCAUACUAAAAUCUUUACUUUAAAUCUUGCAUUAAUAUCUUGUGACAGAUCUAUAGGUAUAUAAAGACGUAGACACGCAGAAAUUACCACAAGACACUUUCACAAAAUUAACGCAAGACUGCUACAAGAUUGUCUUUCAUGUCGUCUUGUGCAAAUCCAUAUAUUAGUAUCUAUCAAAAGAUUCUUGUGAUCAAUCUUGACCAAUAAAUGUGAUGGAAAUUAUUACAUGGGUUCAUA